rnacentral:lncRNA from 1 species
CAUAGCAAGAACAAAGAGAGGAAAAGAAGAACAAGAACCCUAAGUAGAAAAAUUGAAGAAAAAGUGUGGGAUUUCAAGGGAUUAAGCUAAUAAAGGUAAAAAUCCUUGAUUUUAUCUUGUGAUUUACAUUACCCAUGCUUUCUUUUUCAUUUUCCAUGCUUAGAACUCAAGAUUUCAUGAGGACACCCUUGCUGGUCGAACACCUAGGAGAGAGAAUUUGAUGAUGUUUUGGUUAGAUUCUAAGAUAUUCUAGUGUUUUUAGUUAGUUAGUGAUGUGUAGCAUAAAAAGCCAACAAGAAAAAUUCAUUUUCUCCCAUUACCCAUCAUUGACUGAAUUUUCUAGGGAGGAUAUUGAGGCUGAAAUUGAUGAUAUUUCAUGAUAUUUUGGUGGUGUUUAAUGAUUGGUGAGGCUAGAAAUUUAAUGGGAAAUUUUGGCAUGAAAAUCUAAAUUUUUACCUAAUGGAUAGGCAUGUGCGAUUUAUGAUUUAGACUGAUAAAUUGAAUCGUAUUCACAGUCAUGGAGGUAUUUUAAGUAUAAUUGGAGUGUAGAAAGUGAAAGAAAUCGAUUUAGAGUUAAAUUAGAGGUUUUAGCCAAUUACACCGAGAAUAGUACGAAUUAGGUCGAGUACCGUAUUUAAACGACUAUUCGAACAUUUUGCAUCACAUUUCGUGCAUUCAUAUAGAUUUAUAGAGCCUAAAAUAGUUUAUGAUAAAUUGACACAAUUUAUUGAAAUUCGUGUCAUGUAUGACGUAUAGGUGGUGAGCCCUCUAACAAGGGUAAAGAGAUUGUGCCCGAAGACCAGAAAUAGGAGUAUAUCGAACUCCUAGUACAGUGAGUAACCUUACUAUCAUUUUAAUUAUCUAAAGUAUGUUUUUAUUCAGUUUUGGUGAAAUUUUAUGAAAAUGAGUUUAAAUGGUAAAUCUUUGUGUUUUACAAACAAAAUGUGUUUACAGGAAACGAUUUUAUAAAUUUUCUUGAAAUUGAAUAAUAAUUUUGAAAAAUAGAGUAGUUGGAGACCACUUGUUAUGUUGUAAAUUUAUUAUUUGAAUCGAAUGGCUUAUGACAAUAUUUGCAUGAAUGACUGAAUUGGUAUUUGUAUUGAAAUGUAUAAACUGUUGUUUGCCUUGAAAGGCUGUGAAUUAAAAUAAUUGCCAUGUCAUGCUAUUGUAAAUUUUAUUGAAUUAGUGGAUUAUAUAUUAAUUAAUCACUGCAGUAUGGGGUUUUUGUGGACCAGCCUUUUAGAGGGGCACGGUAAACUCCAUUAUUUCUUACCUCGAUCGGAGAGGCACAUAGGGGAUCUCUCGAGGUACAGUUUAGGGUUCACUUCACGCUAAACCACCACGUGAGAGAGAACUCAGCCAACGCCAAGGAACGAUUGUGAUGUCCAACGAAAAAUGUGUUUUAUGCGAAAUAUGAAUUUUUAACAGCCUUGGCAGACUAGGUUGGAUGCCCUACACAAGGUAUCAUCAAGUAUGAGUUUUGGCAUGAGCCAAAGUUUUAAGAAAUUCAUUAGCCAAGUUUAUUACUCGAUUUAUAUGAAUUGAUUUUAUUUGGUUGAAAUGAGUUGAAAGGUAAUGAAAUUAUAGUAUGAUGACUUACUUUAAUUGUCUCCAUUUACUCAACUUUAGAUAGUUUAGAUGGUAUCUGUUUACUCACUGGGAUUUUAUAAUUCACCACCCUCCUUUUCAACCAUUUCAGGGCUAAGGUAGCUUGUGGAUAGCAGCUAUCGUUAAGGAUUAUAGUCGGCUUUAUUACUCCAAAAACUGUAGGUUUACUGCCUUUGUGCACUUUUGUUCCUUGUGGGCCCACGAGUCACUGUAAAGUAAAUUUUAUAUUCUGGUUAUCUAUAUUAUAGUACGUAUGAAUUUAUUUAGCUUUUACAUUACAAAAAUUAUUUAUUGAUGACUCUAUAAAUAUUAUUUUACAAGAAAUUAGAAUAUUUUAUUGAAUAUUUUAUUUUAUUCAAAUAGUUGCAAUAUCAUUUUUAAUAAAUGUUUAGACACCCAACUUUAUUUUAAAUCAUGAAAUAUGUGUUUUAUACUCAUCUACUACAUUUUUAGUUGGGAUCGGAAAAUUUUGAGAAAAAAUGAUGAAAACGCCCUUGUGAGGCGAAAAUUAUUUUUCCAUGGUUUUGAAGGGGAAAAAGCUUAAAAUUCUUUAAAAACGAGGUUUGGCGAUGAUUACUCACAGGGGAGUCGAGAAAAUGGUACUAAAGCCUUACGGGGUUCCGAUUGGCAUUUCGGAUAACGAAUGUCUACUGGGACGUCGCGGCGGUUAUCACGGGCUCGAAGGGAGUACUGGGUCAUGACAAUUAGAUUGGUAUCAGAGCUUUUGGUUUUAAAGUUGUUUUAAAGUUUAUAGUGUCAGUGUGGCCCAAGUUAAGUUAGGUUUGAUAGAAUAGAAUACGUGCAUCUGCAUACAGAAUUUGGAGUUGUUAAGACUCGUUUUGUUUCUUCUUAUAGAUCUUGUGGGAGUAUAAGUCAUAGACAGGGAGCUAUAUGAACUCUUGUUCCCAAUAAUCCAGUUCCUUGUUAAUGUCAUGUAAAGGUCAUAAGUAGGGUCGUUGUCCGGGUUUAAGAUGCCACUUGUGACACGUGCGAGUGUUGGAGAAAUCUUCCAACGAAUGCUCCUAAUGAAAGAUUAAUGAAAUGAUAUAUCCCUCCGAUUAAGGAUGGAGAAAUCUGGAGUUGGACUAAUAGGUCGUGAUAAUUUAUUCAUUUGGUGCAGUUAUAAUUGAACUCAUGUUUGUCAAUUAGAAAAAGAUUUGGGGACUAUGGAUUGUAUUGGAAUUAAUAUAAAGGAACACGUGUGAUAAUGGUAAUAAGGGGCGCACUUUGAUUAGAAUGAAUAGUUAUGGUUGUAAUUCACUUGGAGUAUAUAAAUUAAGCAUUGAAGUAAGAGUAAAC